rnacentral:rRNA from 1 species
AGUGAACGCUGGCGGCAGGCCUAACACAUGCAAGUCGAGCGGGUGACGGGAGCUUGCUCCUUGAUUCAGCGGCGGACGGGUGAGUAAUGCCUAGGAAUCUGCCUGGUAGUGGGGGACAACGUUUCGAAAGGAACGCUAAUACCGCAUACGUCCUACGGGAGAAAGCAGGGGACCUUCGGGCCUUGCGCUAUCAGAUGAGCCUAGGUCGGAUUAGCUAGUUGGUGAGGUAAUGGCUCACCAAGGCGACGAUCCGUAACUGGUCUGAGAGGAUGAUCAGUCACACUGGAACUGGGACACGGUCCGGACUCCUACGGGAGGCAGCAGUGGGGAAUAUUGGACAAUGGGCGAAAGCCUGAUCCAGCCAUGCCGCGUGUGUGAAGAAGGUCUUCGGAUUGUAAAGCACUUUAAGUUGGGAGGAAGGGCAGUAAGUUAAUACCUUGCUGUUUUGACGUUACCGACAGAAUAAGCACCGGCUAACUCUGUGCCAGCCGCCGCCGUAAAAC